rnacentral:rRNA from 1 species
AGAGUUUGAUCAUGGCUCAGGAUGAACGCUAGCUACAGGCUUAACACAUGCAAGUCGAGGGGAAACGAUAGAGAAAGCUUGCUUUUUCUAGGCGUCGACCGGCGCACGGGUGAGUAACGCGUAUCCAACCUGCCCACCACUUGGGGAUAACCUUGCGAAAGUAAGACUAAUACCCAAUGACGUCUCUAGAAGACAUCUGAAAGGGAUUAAAGAUUUAUCGGUGAUGGAUGGGGAUGCGUCUGAUUAGCUUGUUGGCGGGGUAACGGCCCACCAAGGCAACGAUCAGUAGGGGUUCUGAGAGGAAGGUCCCCCACAUUGGAACUGAGACACGGUCCAAACUCCUACGGGAGGCAGCAGUGAGGAAUAUUGGUCAAUGGGCGAGAGCCUGAACCAGCCAAGUAGCGUGCAGGAUGACGGCCCUAUGGGUUGUAAACUGCUUUUAUAAGGGAAUAAAGUGAGCCUCGUGAGGCUUUUUGCAUGUACCUUAUGAAUAAGGACCGGCUAAUUCCGUGCCAGCAGCCGCGGUAAUACGGAAGGUCCGGGCGUUAUCCGGAUUUAUUGGGUUUAAAGGGAGCGUAGGCCGGAGAUUAAGCGUGUUGUGAAAUGUAGAUGCUCAACAUCUGCACUGCAGCGCGAACUGGUUUCCUUGAGUACGCACAAAGUGGGCGGAAUUCGUGGUGUAGCGGUGAAAUGCUUAGAUAUCACGAAGAACUCCGAUUGCGAAAGCAGCUCACUGGAGCGCAACUGACGCUGAAGCUCGAAAGUGCGGGUAUCGAACAGGAUUAGAUACCCUGGUAGUCCGCACGGUAAACGAUGGAUGCCUGCUGUUGGUCUGAAUAGGUCAGCGGCCAAGCGAAAGCAUUAAGCA